rnacentral:rRNA from 1 species
CAGCAAUGCCGCGUGGAUGAAGAAGGUCUUCGGAUUGUAAAGUCCUUUCGGCGGGGACGAUGAUGACGGUACCCGCAGAAGAAGCCCCGGCUAACUUCGUGCCAGCAGCCGCGGUAAUACGAAGGGGGCUAGCGUUGCUCGGAAUGACUGGGCGUAAAGGGCGCGUAGGCGGAUGACACAGUCAGGCGUGAAAUUCCUGGGCUCAACCUGGGGGCUGCGCUUGAUACAUGUUGUCUAGAGUGUGAAAGAGGGUCGUGGAAUUCCCAGUGUAGAGGUGAAAUUCGUAGAUAUUGGGAAGAACACCGGUGGCGAAGGCGGCGACCUGGUUCAUGACUGACGCUGAGGCGCGAAAGCGUGGGGAGCAAACAGGAUUAGAUACCCUGGUAGUCCACGCCGUAAACGAUGUGUGCUGGAUGUUGGGCGACCUAGUCGCUCAGUGUCGUAGCUAACGCGGUAAGCACACCGC